rnacentral:lncRNA from 1 species
GUGGAGAAUCACCAGGAAGUUUAUCAAAUCUCAUAGGAGUUAGGAUGAAUAAGCUAUCCCACUUUCAAAUCAGGUGAUCCCAGUUUUCCUGUUUGGGAAUAUGACAACUUCUUUGUCAUUCUAAUCAAACCAGAAACAAUCGCGAUGUAAGAAACUUGAUUUUGAUACAUAAAGUAGUGGAAAAUCACCAGGAAGUUUAUUAAAUCUCAUAGGAGUUAGGAUGAAGAAGCUAUCCCACUUUCAAAUCAGGUGAUCCCAGUUUUCCUGUUUGGGAAUAUGACAACUUCUUUGUCAUUAUAAUCAAACCAGGAACAAUCACGAUGUAAGAAACUUGAUUUUGAUACAUAAAGUAGUGGAGAAUCACCAGGAAGUUUAUUAAAUCUCAUAGGAGUUAGGAUGAAGAAGCUAUCCCACUUUCAAAUCAGGUGAUCCCAGUUUUCUUGUUUGGGAAUAUGACAACUUCUUUGCCAUUCUAAUCAAACCAGGAACAAUCGCGAUGUAAAAAGCUUGAUUUUGAUACAUAAAGUAGUGGAGAAGACUAGUAAGUAGAAAAAAUCUCAUAGGAGUUAGGAUGAAGAACCUAUCCCACUUUCAAAUCAGGUGAUCCCAGUUUUCCUGUUUGGGAAUAUGACAACUUCUUUGUCAUUCUAACAAAACAGGAACAAUCGCGAUGUAAGAAGCUUGAUUUUGAUACAUAAAGUAUUGGGGAAUCAUUAGGAAGUUGAAUAAAUCUCAUAGGAGUUAGGAUGAAGAAGCUAUCCCACUUUCAAAUCAGGUGAUCCCAGUUUUCCUGUUUGGGAAUAUGACAACCUUUUUGUUAUUCUAAUCAAACCAGGAUGAAUCGCGAUCUAAGAAGCUUGAUUUUGAUACAUAAAGUAUUGGGGAAUCACCAGGAAGUGGAAUAAAUCUCAUUGGAGUUAGGAUGAAGAAGCUAUCCCACUUUUAAAUCAGGUGAUCCCAGUUUUCCUGUUUGGGAAUAUGACAACUUCUUUGUCAUUCUAAUGAAACCAGGAACAAUCGCGAUGUAAGAAGCUUGAUUUUGAUACAUAAAGUAGUGGAGAAUCAUUAGGAAGUUUAUUAAAUCUCAUAGGAGUUAGGAUGAAGAAGCUAUCCCACUUUCAAAUCAGGUGAUCCCAGUUUUCAUGUUUGGGAAUAUGAGAACUUCUUUGUCAUUCUAAUCAAACCAGGAACAAACGAGAUGUAAGAAGCUUGAUUUUGAUACAUAAAGUAGUGGAGAAUCACCAGGAAGUUAAUUAAAUCUCAUAGGAGUUAGGAUGAAGAAGCUAUCCCACAUCCAAAUCAGGUGAUCCCAGUUUUCCUGUUUGGGAAUAUGACAACUUCUUUGUCAUUCUAAUCAAACCAGGAACAAACUCAAAUUAGGAUGAAUAAGCUAUCCCACUUUCAAAUCAGGUGAUCCCAGUUGUCCUGUUUGGGAAUAUGACAACUUCUUUGUCAUUCUAAUCAAACCAGGAUGAAUCGCGAUGUAAGAAGCUUGAUUUUGAUAUAUAAAGUAGUGGAGAAUCAUUAGGAAGUGGAAUAAAUCUCAGAGGAGUUAGGAUGAAGAAGCUAUCCCACUUUCAAAUCAGGUGAUCCUAGUUUUCCUGUUUGGGAAUAUGACAACUUCUUUGUCAUUAUAAUCAAAACAGGAAGAAUCGCCAUGUAAGAAGCUUGAUUUUGAUACAUAAAGUAGUGGAGAAUCACUAGAAGUGGAAAAAAUCUCAUAGGAGUUAGGAUGAAGAAGCUAUCCCACUUUCAAAUCAGGUGAUCCCAGUUUUCAUGUUUGAGAAUAUGACAACUUCUUUGUCAUUCUUUCCUGUUUGGGAAUAUGACAAUUUCUUUGUCAUUCUAAUCAAACCAGGAUGAAUCGCGAUAUAAGAAGCUUGAUUUUGAAACAUAAAGUACUGGAGAAUCACCAGGAAGUUUAUUAAAUCCUAUCUUGAUUUUGAUACAUAAAGUAGUGGAGAAUCAUUAGGAAGUGGAAUAAAUCUCAGAGGAGUUAGGAUGAAGAAGCUAUCCCACUUUCAAAUCAGGUGAUCCUAGUUUUCCUGUUUGGGAAUAUGACAACUUCUUUGUCAUUCUAAUCAAACCAGGAACAAUCGAGAUGUAAGAAGCUUGAUUUUGAUAAAUAAAGUAGUGAAGAAUCACCAGGAAGUUUAUUAAAUCUCAUAGGAGUUAGGAUGAAGAAGCUAUCCCACUUUCAAAUCAGGUGAUCCCAGUUUUCCUGUUUGGGAAUAUGACAACAUCUUUGUCAUUCUAAUCAAACCAGGAAGAAUCGCGAUGUAAGAAACUUGAUUUUGAUACAUAAAGUAGUGGAGAAUCACUAGUAAGUGGAAAAAAUCUCAUAGGAGUUAUUAUGAAGAAGCUAUCCCACUUUCAAAUCAGGUGAUCCCAGUUUUCCUGUUUGGGAAUAUGACAACUUCUUUGUCAUUCUAAUCAAAACAGGAAGAAUCGCCAGGAAGUUGAAUAAAUCUCAUAGGAGUUAGGAUGUAGAAGCUAUCCCACUUUCAAAUCAGGUGAUCCCAGUUUUCCUGUUUGGGAAUAUGACAACUUCUUUGUCAUUCUAAUCAAACCAGGAAGAAUCACGAUGUGAGAAGCUUGGUUUUGAUACAUAAAGUAGUGCAGAAGACUAGUAAGUGGAAAAAAUCUCAUAGGAGUUAGGAUGAAGAACCUAUCCCACUUUCAAAUAUAAAGUAGUGGAGAAGACUAGUAAGUGGAAAAAAUCUCAUAGGAGUUAGGAUGAAGAAGCUAUCCCACUUUCAAAUCAGGUGAUCCCAGUUUUCCUGUUUGGGAAUAUGACAACUUCUUUGUCAUUCUAAUCAAACCAGAAACAAUCGCGAUGUAAGAAACUUGAUUUUGAUACAUAAAGUAGUGGAAAAUCACCAGGAAGUUUAUUAAAUCUCAUAGGAGUUAGGAUGAAGAAGCUAUCCCACUUUCAAAUCAGGUGAUCCCAGUUUUCCUGUUUGGGAAUAUGACAACUUCUUUGUCAUUAUAAUCAAACCAGGAACAAUCACGAUGUAAGAAACUUGAUUUUGAUACAUAAAGUAGUGGAGAAUCACCAGGAAGUUUAUUAAAUCUCAUAGGAGUUAGGAUGAAUAAGCUAUCCCACUUUCAAAUCAGGUGAUCCCAGUUUUCCUUUUUGGGAAUAUGACAACUUCUUUGUCAUUCUAAUCAAACCAAGAUGAAUCGCCAUGUAAGAAGCUUGAUUUUGAUAUAUAAAGUAGUGGAGAAGACUAGUAAGUGGAAAAAAUCUCAUAGGAGUUAGGAUGAAGAAGCUAUCCCACUUUUAAAUCAGGUGAUCCCAGUUUUCCUGUUUGGGAAUAUGACAACUUCUUUGUCAUUCUAAUGAAACCAGGAACAAUCGCGAUGUAAGAAGCUUGAUUUUGAUACAUAAAGUAGUGGAGAAUCAUUAGGAAGUGGAAUAAAUCUCAGAGGAGUUAGUAUGAAGAAGCUAUCCCACUUUCAAAUCAGGUGAUCCCAGUUUUCCUGUUUGGGAAUAUGACAACCUUUUUGUUAUUCUAAUCAAACCAGGAUGAAUCGCGAUAUAAAAAGCUUGAUUUUGAUACAUAAAGUAGUGUAGAAUCAUUAGGAAGUGGAAUAAAUCUCAUAGGAGUUAGGAUGAAGAAGCUAUCCCACUUUCAAAUCAGGUGAUCCCAGUUUUCCUGUUUGGGAAUAUGACAACUUCUUUGUCAUUCUAACAAAACAGGAACAAUCGCGAUGUAAGAAGCUUGAUUUUGAUACAUAAAGUAUUGGGGAAUCAUUAGGAAGUUGAAUAAAUCUCAUAGGAGUUAGGAUGAAGAAGCUAUCCCACUUUCAAAUCAGGUGAUCCCAGUUUGGUGGAGAAUCAUUAGGAAAUGGAAUAAAUCUUAGAGGAGUUAGGAUGAAGAAGCUAUCCCACUUUCAAACCAGGUGAUCCCAGUUUUCCUGUUUGGGAAUAUGACAACUUUUUUGUCAUUCUAAUCAAACCAGGAAGAAUCGCGAUCAAAGAAGUUUGAUUUUGAUACAUAAAGUAUUGGGGAAUCACCAGGAAGUGGAAUAAAUCUCAUUGGAGUUAGGAUGAAGAAGCUAUCCCACUUUCAAAUCAAGUGAUCCCAAUUUUUCUGUUUGGGAAUAUGACAACUUCUUUGUCAUUCUAAUGAAACCAGGAACAAUCGCGAUGUAAGAAGCUUGAUUUUGAUACAUAAAGUAGUGGAGAAGACUAGUAAGUGGAAAAAAUCUCAUAGGAGUUAGGAUGAAGAAGCUAUCCUACUUUCAAAUUAGGCGAUCCCAGUUUUUCUGUUUGGGAAUAUGACAACUUCUUUGUUAUUCUAAUCAUACCAGGAUGAAUCGAGAUGUGCAUACUUAGGGCGAGUGUACGGACCGGCCAGGACGUACAUCGACCGUACAACACCCGGGACUCAUCCAUUCAUCCGGUUCAGCCAAAAGAAGAAUGUGCAAGGAUAGGGCGCGACUUGUCUGAACUCUUAUGACCGUUGGAGACUUAAGGAGAGGAAAGAAAUAUUCCUUAUGAGCUGUGUGAUCCAAAGAGACAGGCUGGAAAGUAAAAGUGGCUUUACCUUUACAGCCUUAUCUCCACACUGUCUCAUCUUGGCCAUUGAUUCAAAAUGAGCCAAUCUCUCCCCUCCAUUCAAAUCAGGCGUGCCUCCCUUGACAGCUUGCACCAGAACAUCCAAGACCAGCCUUCUCUCAUCCUAGCCAUCCAUUCUAUCUUUUAAUUACAGCCUUAGGAUAUAGGUUUAUGAUCUGAUUCAUGUAAAGGCAUAUAUAAGCCAUUUGUAUGCAUUUUGUAAACUCCAAGUGAGUAAGGGGGUUUCCCUUCUCCUUCUCUAAUCUGAAACACUUUCUCUUAGUCUCUCUGGCCUCUCAAAUCUCUAUACAUGUUCUCAGUCUUGUUACUAAUCUCUUAAACACUUAGACACACAAACACUCAUUAAACUUCCUUUAUCUCAAAUCGCUUCCAAGCUCUCUCUCUUUACCCAUUUGGGUUUCAUACACACAUACAACCUGAGUACUCCAAAAUCUCAUACAUAGGAGUUAGGAUGAAGAAGCUAUCCCACUUUCAAAUCAGGUGAUCCCAGUUUUCCUGUUUGGGAAUAUGACAACUUCUUUGUCAUUCUAAUCAAACCAAGAUGAAUCGCGAUGUAAGAAGCAUGAUUUUGAUACAUAUAGUAGUGGAGAAUCAUUAGGAAGUGGAAUAAAUCUCAUAGGAGUUAGGAUGAAGAAGCUAUCUCACUUUCAAAUCAGGUGAUCCCAAUUUUCCUGUUUGGGAAUAUGACAACUACUUUGUCAUUCUAAUCAAACCAGGAUGAAUCGCGAUGUAAGAAGCUUGAUUUUGACACAUAAAGUAGUGGAGAAUCAUUAGGAAGUGGAAUAAAUCUAAUAGGAGUUAGGAUGAAGAAGCUAUCCCACUUUCAAAUCAGGUGAUCCCAGUUUUCCCGUUUGGGAAUAGGACAACUUCUUUGUCAUUCUAAUCAAACCUGGAAGAAUCGCGAUGUCAGAAGUUUGAUUUUGAUACAUAAAGUAGUGGAGAAUCAAGAGGAAGAGGAAUAAAUCUCAUAGGAGUUAGGAUGAAGUAAGCUAUCCCACUUUCAAAUCAGGUGAUCCUAGUUUUCCUGUUUGGGAAUAGGACAACUUCUUUGUCAUUCUAAUAAAACCAGGAAGAAUAGCGAUGUCAGAAGCUUGAUUUUGAUACAUAAAGUAAACACUUUUGUGUUUUAG